rnacentral:lncRNA from 1 species
CACGAAGGGGGAGAGUGACCGAGGGCCACCACGGCCACCACAGCUCCUCCAGCCUGCUGGUGCCCCACUGCGUCCGGCUGCCACUCAUUCUGCGCCACCAGGUCAGGAAUCCUAGUUCAAGCAAAACCUCCUGACUGGGCAAGGGCAGGGCUCGGCCCCCUGAAAGCUGCCAGGACCUGGGAUUUGGGUAGAAGCGGGCCAGAGCUUCAGCAGAGCAGGCAUCUUCUGGACGAGGAGCCAGGCUCUCCGCCCGCCACCCUUGAUUGGAGAAAAGAGGCCCUGAUGUCAUCCCCAGCAUCAGCCAUCUGCCUGCCACCAGCACGGGAGGCGUCUCAGCAGCCCCCUCCCAGGGGCCUUCUUUCUCGGCUUACGGAAUGGAGGGAAAAGCGUGAACAUCGAGAAACAGCAGACAAGCGACCCCCAGGCCUAGCGAAGGUGAGCUGUGUGUGUGUGUGCGUGUGUGCGCCCUUCUCUCCGCUGGACCUGUUGGCAUCUUUCUCUUCCUCUCCACUGGGCUCCACGUAGAUUCAGCUGUUUCAGCCGAAGAGAAGGCUCAUGUAGUUGGGGUUCCAAGUGUGAUUUAGAAGAACCAAUAGCAGAGAAGAAAAGAAAGCUCACAGACAAAUGCUUUUCAUUAUCACGAGACUAGAAACUCGUGAUUAGGUUACUGGCUGAGGGCUGAGCAAAGGUCCCCAUCUCGUGUCCCACAGGAGUUGUCUUCACUGAUUGGGAGCGCCAGCCUCGAAGCCAGAUACAUUGGCACAAUUGUCGAGAUCACGUCUGGAUGACCUGAGCCGUAUUCGAGCUUCUUUGGCAUUUAAUGAACAAAAUUUCCUCCAAAGGCUUACAGUCCGAGAUUAGGAAAGCUAGCACUGAACUCUGUUUAGCUGAUUUACAGGCUGUCAGUUAAGGGGGCAGGCCCCCAAAUUCUCCCAAACUCAGAAAAGUGUCAAAGACCCACACCUGCAAUAUGCCCUCAUGCAAACUAGAAAGGCACACUGGUACGUCUCAUCUGUCAAAUGAGGGCAUUUGACAGAUGGUCUUCCUAGCGACUCACUCUGACUGUAAAAUUCCACGAAUGGACAUAUCUAGAAAUCUAGGGACCAGAUCACAUCAUCCCAAGGGGACAACUAUACCGGAAACACACACUUACUAAUGGCUCUGAAGCAUUAAACGAAGCCUGUCCUAUGGCUCAUACAGUCUGGCUUUGAAUCCGAUUCUUUACGCAAAGAACCCAACUGUAAGUCAAUGUUCUGAGGCUGUCAGAAAGACUGACCUGUCUCUCUCCCUAAUUCCAUCUCUCUUCCUGAGCCAUCCUUGGCUAAGCGGUAUUUCCCAGGUGUGCUGGACCCCAGCAGCUCCCUGGUGCACCUGUAGUUCCAGGCCUUUCCCCAAAACUCUGAUGGCGUUGGUCUGUGUUAGGGCCCAGAAAUCCAUAUUGCUAUCAAGCUGCUUUGAGAGUUCCUGAUUCUGAUGAUUAGACAAACACGGAAAAUCUUGAAUCAACGAUCCUGCCGGCGACCACAGCUGCCCCUUCCCUCCGGGGACAUGAAAUCAAAGGAUGACUCACGAUCACGGCGGGCGACCCUUCCUGGAGCACCGACGGAACGAGUCCCAACAGAACGAGUCCGGGUUAUCUGUGAAGUGUCCACACCAGGGACGCGGGGUUUGAGAACUCGACACUGUGCCGUGGUUUUCUUAGUCCUUCCGUUCCUCUGCCUUCCUGGUCCUGCUGCUUUCUCCUGGUUUCAUUUCUCUUACCUCAUAUCCUCUCACUGGAGAUUCGGUUGGGUUUUUUGGCGGGAUUUUUUUGUUUUGUGUUUUCUUUUUUCUUUUUACAGCUGCACCUGCAGCAUGUGGAAUUUCCUGGGUUAGGGGUCAAAUUGGAGCUGCAGCUGCCAGCUUACACUAUAGGCACAGCAACACUGGAUCUGAGCCACAUAUGUGACCUGCACCACAGCUCAUGGCAAAGCCAGAUCCUUAACUCAUUGAGCGAGGCCAGGGAUCGAACUCAGAUCUUCACGGAGACUUAUGGCAGGUUCUUAAUCCAUUUAGUCAUGAUGAAAACUCCUCAGUUGGGUUUUACGUUAGCUUUCCAGCUAUUUCUACGGCUUUUCAAAAUUAUUUCAUUCCUUUAAAAAUGUGUUUCUGUGUGGCCCCGCCCGUGGCAUGUGGAGGUUCCCCACCCGGGAUCACACCUGAGCCGUAGUCGAGACGAUGGUGGAUCUUUAACUGCUAGGCCCCGAGGGGACACCUACGGUUUUUAUAAAAAUAAUGCCUUCCCGUCUUCUGCAUUUCAAGUGACAUAAUUUACAUCAUUAUUUUUGGAUUUUUAAAAUAUUGUCUCAAUUCACCCUCUUGAUACCACCCUUUAUGAUACUGUGCUAAAUCAUGUCCGUUUUUUUUUAACCAGUCUUAGCCUGGGGGUCUGGCUCUCCAACAGAUGUCUUUGCCAUCCAGCUGUGUUAGCGCUGUCUUGUCAACUAAUCUUGUCAACUAAUUUACACCGGAAGCACAAGGCAGAUAAAUUAAAGUAUCUUUAGUUUACCUAGACUACUUCGACAUGCAUCCAAAAGCAUAAUAAGCAUAAACUAUGGAGAAUAAGUGCCAGAUUUUCUAGACACCAGGAGCAAUACCUUGGAGUUCCUGCCAUGGCGCAGUGGGUUAAGAACCUGACUGUGUUGGCUCAGGUUGCCGUGGAGGUGAGGGUUUGACCCCCGGCCUGGUGCAGUGGGUUAAAGGAUCCAGCCUUGCCACAGCUGCUGUGGAGGUCUUAGCUGUGGCUCGGAUUCAGUCCCUGGCCUGGGACCUUCCAGGUGCUGUGGGUGCGGCCAUAAGAACGGACCAAAUAACGAACGAACCAUUUCUUUCAGAACACGAUGACCCAUAAAUCAGCCGAGAGGGAUUCUCGAAGUAAAACCUAUCUCAGUCGCUUACAUCGGAUGUACUCCAGUGCCAUUGCUAACAUGGAGUUCUCCAGGAGACUGCUGGAGAGAAGCGGCCAGUUUACAGACGCGGACUCGGAGAGCAGAACCCGAGGGCUGGUCAGUGCUGUCGGGGUCUGGAAGCUGCACAGUGAGGCUCUGUCUAAGAUUUGGGCCGAGGGGUGUGGGCAGGGGCAGGUCAGCAGACUGUGCGGUGGAAGUUCUGGUGCACACAGGAGGGCUGCCUGGAAGCAGUGACCACCAUUUACAACUAAGGAUGGAGGAGGGUCCACCGGGGGCUGAACUCUUUCCAUGCGGGAUCUGGAUGUGACCAGAGGACAGAUCCCCCCUUGUUUUAGUUUUAGAAACAUAAAAAUCUAAUCUGGAGUCUGAUUUAAAAAUAAAAAGAAACUCGAGUUCCCACUGUGGCUCAGCGGUAAUGAACCCGACUAGUUCCCAUGAGGACACAGAUUCCACCCCUGGCCUCGCACAGUGGGUUAAGGAUCCGGAGUUGCUGUGACCUGUGGCACAGGUUGCAGAUGCAGCUUGAGUCCCGUGUUGCUGUGGCUGUGGUGGAGGCUGGCGGCUACAGUUCUGACUUGACGCCUAGCCUGGGAACUUCCAUAUGCUGCAGGUGUGGCCCAAAAAAGAAAAAGAAAAAGAAAAAGAAAAAAAGAAAGUCAAAACAAAAAAAAAAAACAAAAAGAAACCAAAGCAGCGCUCACCGUUCUGUGAUUUUUCGGCCGCUUCCCUCAUUGGCUUGAAAAGCCCAGUGAAGCUGCCCCUGGGAGGGCAGGGGGCAGCCCGGAGGAGGUGAGCCCAGGGACUUAAGUGGUAUUUCUUAGCCAUAAGGUACUAUCUUCUAAGAUAGCAAAUAAUUUAUAAUGAAGAUUUUAAACAUGAAUACAUAAAUACACAUUUUAGUGAUCAUUGCUAGUCCGACUUAACCAAAUUCUGUUUUAAAAAUUGUUUCUCACACUUUGAAUGUUAUGACAACAAGUUUAACAGGCAAAACGUAACAUUUGCUUCUGAACGCUGGACCACGUGUUCCCCAGUGGACACAGGCAGCGUGGAGAGCAGCCCCAGGAGAGGAUGGGGCGCCCCCGGCCGGCGGGUCUGGGGCCUCGGCCAGGAGUCCAGCCUCCCCUCAGCUUCCUGAGAUGCGACAGCCUGGCCAGUGGGACAAAAGAUUCCAAUCAAAGGACAAGAGGACACCACACAGCCCUGGGCGGCAUGAUUAACUUACCAGAACACACGAGGGGUGAACCUGCCUCUCCAGGGAUGACCACAGCCCCAGGGACCACAGCACCCCUGACCCUGGAACAAGCCAUUCAGAUGCACCGUGUUGUGGAGGCUAAGACAGCAAGUCGAUAUUGGACUAACUACGUGGAUUAAGAAUGAGACUACAGUAUCCUAUUUAGAUGAAAAGAAUGAAGAAAUGUUGAAACUCCCAAAGAAAUAAUUAAAUGGCAGAUUUCUGCUUCUUUAAUUCAAAAUUAUGAAAACAAUGAUGACCCAGCAAGUAUAUAAUAAUAUAUUUAUUAGAAAUGUGAGAUUUUCAUGCAGAAACCCAGAACCAUGAAUGAGAACCAGUAGAAAUAAGAGUCAGCAGAAUUAUGUUCACAAAAAAUCAAGAUAAUGGAAGUUAGCAGAUGUAGAAAUACAAUAAUAAGAUUAAUAUGGUCAAAUAAACUUUACAAAGAAAUUUUAAAUUACUAAUAAAGAGUAUACUAUGAAAAUGGAUGAAACGUUUGAAAGAACUGCAAUUUUUAGAGUGGAAAACAUAGUAAGUAAAAGUAUUUAACAAGUGGGUUAAAGAGUAGAUUAGGCAUACGUGAAGAUAGAAUUAGUGAACUAUGUAGAUCAAGGGGAAUUAUCCAGAAUCUAGCACAGAGAAACAGAGUGAUGGAAUACAUAACAAAGAAAUAAAGAGCUAUAGAGGGUAGAGUAAGAAAGUGCAACAUUCAUUUAAACACAGUUCCAGGAAGAGUAAUCAAGAGAACGAAGAAGAAGCAGUAUUAGAAGAGAAAAUUCUAAAAUGCCAGAACUGAUGAAAGACACCAAUCCUCAGAUUUAGGGAUCUCAAAAAACCACAAGAGCAAUAGAAUAAAAAAACAAAACAAAACAAAAACAAAAAAACUAAACACCAAAUGUAAGGUGAAGUCCUUUAAAGAAGCCAGAGAGAAAAGACAAGUCACCUACAAAAGAAAAGCAAUUUGAAACCCAGAUGACAUUUCUAUAGAAACAGUCAGCAAAUCCUAGGAAAGCUAUUUUAGUAAAAAGAAAUACAAAAUGCAAAUAGUCCUACAAUUAUUAAAUGAAUUGAAUCCAUAAUUUAAAAACCUUCCCACAAAGAAAAUAAGAAAAACUCUAGGCCCAUAUGGUUUCACUGGUGAAUUUCAAACAAAUAGUUAGGGAAAAAGUAAUGUCAUCUUUUCUAAGUAAAUUCUUCCAGAAAUGGAAAAAGAGGGCAUAUCUCCUGUUUCUUUUUGUAAUGCCUGCAUAAUCUAAAAGGAAAAAACAGGCUGAUCUCACUCAGGAAUGUAGUUGCAAAAUUUUAAAACAAAAUAUUAACAAACUGAACUCUAAUAUUUUGUUCAUUUUAGUAAUUUCUGCUCAUAAUGAAAAUAUAGCAAAUUCCAAAUAAAAAGGAAAAAUUUAAAUCUGGCAAUGUGUUUUUAAAAAUAUUUGUAAGUAAACAAUGUACUGGGAUUCCCUUCGUGUCUCAGCAGUUAACGAACCUGACUAGCAUCCACUUGUAUGCGUGUUUGAUCCCUGGCCUCUCUCAUUGGGUUAAGUAUGCAGCGUCGCAGUGAGCUGUGAUGUAGGUCACAGAUGAGGCUCGGAUUUGGCUUUGCUGUGGCUGUGGUGUAGGCCAGCGGCUGUAGCUCUGAUUCGACCCCUGGCCUGGGAACCUCCAUAUGCCACGGGGGUGGCCUUAAAAAAAAAAAAAAAUAUAUAUAUAUAUAUAUAUAUAUAUAUAUAUAUAUAUAUACACACAGACACACACUUAAUGUUGAAAUACUGAAAUCUUUCCUUUUAAACAAUAGAAAAAGCUGCCUAUUUUUUCCUAUUUCUAUUGAAGCUUGGACUGGAAGUUUGAGAAGUAUAAUAAUAAGCUAUAAAAAGAAAUAAAAUCCGUAAAGCUUGUAAAAGAUAGAAAACUGUCUUUUUUUUUAAAUAGAAAAGUCCCAACACAGAAAAAGCAAGUGAAUAAUUAUAAAUUUCUGGAAAAUGCUUACUUUUAAG